UGCUGCUGAUCCUGAUAACUUGAGCACCUCAAGAGGGAACUUCAUGAUUUGCUUAGCAAAUCCUCACUUAAUCGUAUCUCAUCGCUGAUCCUGGGUAACAAGAUUGAUAAACCGGGAGCUCUGAGUAAACAAGCGUUGACUGAUGAAAUGGGACUCAAGUCAAUACUGAUAGAGUAAGUAUGUUGCUUCAUGAUCUCAUGCAAGAACCCAACUGACAUAGACUCAGUAAUUGAUGGCUUGUAAAGCAUUCCAAAUAAAAAAGCUGAGUGUCUUGUUCUCUUUGGUUUAGAUUUCUGUGCUAUAAUAUUGCAAAUUUUUCAUGUAUGGGUGGUUGUUGGUGGGAUUCACUGGUCUAACUUGAUUGCUGAUUGGUUUAUGUGUGUAAUUUUCCCUAUAUCAUUUCCGAUUCCAGACUCUGGGGUUGUUAUUUUGAUCUUAAUCUCCCUUCUUCCCCAGAUGCCUGCCUAAAUUCAUAAUUUCAUAGUGUUGGAAUUCGGAAUUCAUGGAAGUUUGGAAACUAGCAUUUUCCCUUUGCAUAUGAUAAGCAGACGAGGGAUCAAUAAGAGAAAAUUUCCAAUUUUGGUUUCGACUUAGAUAUUGAUUAUAUGAACUUUCUGCCAACACACAUACGAUGUGCCAGAAUUUUACUCUAUCUUAUAGGUUAUAUACAUGCAAAAAGUAGAU
rnacentral:lncRNA from 1 species